AUGCAAGGCAUGGCUGGAGGAGGAAGGAAAAGCUUUUCCAACCCCCCUCCAAGCUUUGUGUGUUUGCACAGAGCUGGAUGUUGGAAUUAAGAGAGCAGCCAACACAAGGAAAGGUUGAGAAAGGUGCUGUCUUUUUAAAAUCAAUGCUUUAAAGUUUAUCUAUUGAUUCUUUGGGAUUUCUCCAAACAUACACGUUGUGUCUGCCCCUAAUGCCUGAGUCCUGUCAUUGUGACUGUGAGAGCCACAGACCUUCCUAGGAGACAAGAGACAUCUGAUUUCUUAGUCUGAGGAGGUAUGGAGAUCUGGGAAAUCCCAGAAUAAGUUUGUAAGCAGGGCACAGACAGGGCCCUGGGAGAGAUCCCUCCAUCUGCUGAACAAAGGGGAAGUUGAGGAAGAGUUAAGGCGUGAACACACUUUGUGUGACUGACUAAAGAGCUGUACAAGCUGAAGGUUUAUGUGGUGCUUGGGGUUUUUUUUUUUUCACCAUUUCAGAAAGGAUGUGGACUUUGUGGCUUAGCCACGGAUGUCAGGCACCUCACAACAUCUGUGCUGCAGAGAAACGACUCCAGUGCUGAGGAGGAAACACCAGCUGCCACCACAGGAAGGAAGGGAUCCCGUGACUGACCGCGUGACCCCUCUUGUCCCCUCAGCUCUUGAGAGACACCUGUCUGUAAGUGGAUGCUGAACAUUCGCUCCUAGAAAAAGAAUAAAUAAAGCACAGCUAAGUAAGAGUUUGGGAAUGCUGCAAGGAGCUGCCAGGCACCAAGUGCCUAGAUCAGGUAUACUCAGUAUUUCUUCCCCAAAAAACACAGUUUGAUAAAUCCCUAUGAAAGCCUCUCCACAAUCUAACAUAAGACUUUGACAACAGAUCUGCUCUUUCUUAGUGCCUGCAAGUACAAACAUGAUUUAUUUCCAGCUCACUACCUGCAGAUUAUUUGUGUCCUGUACUGCUGCUGACAGCUCAGAAUCAGAUUUAAGGGGCUUCUCACUUUGACAGUUAUCCUGAUGAGCUGCCAGCCCUGCGGCCUCAAGCUGCAGGUGUGCCCCACACCUGGCACCAACUUCUUGGCAUGCAGUGAGGCUUACCAAGUUCACUGAAUUUAGCUGGCCUGUCCUACAUAACCUGUCCAAAGACCUGACCAGACUUGUUUAAUCCUCAGCCACAGCAGGCUGGCUGCAGUACACAGGAGUGUGAUACCCACCUUUAACAUCCUCUCCAGCUUAACUGCAUCUGCAGCAAAUCUCCUGAUCCCAUCAGAGAGCUUUUCCACAGCCAUUUGGUCUUCGUUGUGCUGCCAGCGGAAUGCCUUCUCGUCCAGGUGGAUCUUCUCAAGAUCGCACGCCUGAGCUGCGCAGGAGAAGUAGAAAAAGAAACAGACCACAGGUGAUCAGAUUCUUAUCAAAUUCAGAUUUGUGUUGGAAAAAUUUUAAACACUUUCAGUAUGACUUACUGCAGGAGCACAGUCUGGGAUGUGAGAUUGAAAGUGCUCCUGAUAUGGCUGGAGGAGAACAAAGAGGAAAAAGGUAGCCCAAUAAAUAAGUUUAUCUUAAA